rnacentral:rRNA from 1 species
AUUGAACGCUGGCGGCAGGCCUAACACAUUCAAGUCGAACGAGUGGCGGACGGGUGAGUAAUGUGUGGAAAACUUCCUGAUGGAGGGGGAUCUCUAGUGGAAACGGUCGCUAAUACCGCAUCCCAUCGGAUGUCCCCAGAUGGGAUUAGCGAGUAGGUGGGGUAACGGCUCACCUAGGCGACGCUCCCUAGCUGGUCUGAGAGGAUGACAAGCCACACUGGACAGGAGACACGGUCCAGACCCCUACGGGAGGCAGCAGUCGGGAAUAUUGCACAAUGGGCGCAAGCCUGAUGCAGCCAUGCCGCGUGUAUGAAGAAGGCCUUCGGGUUGUAAAGUACUUUCAGCGGGGAGGCGUUACCAGCAGAAGAAGCACCGGCUAACUCCGUGCCAGCAGCCGCGGUAAUUA